rnacentral:rRNA from 1 species
AUGACUGGUAAGGUCAAUGUUUUUGCCACUAACCUAUCCCCCAGUGCUUCUAGAUUCUGGAAGGGCCUAAAAACCAUUAUCCAAGCGCUGAAAUUUGGUUAUAGGUGGAAGAUUGCGUCAGGAGAAAAAGUUAGAUUCUAGGAAGAUACCUGGUUUGGUACCUCUCCCUUAGCCGUGCAGUUCUGGCCUAUCUACUCUAUUUGCAAUGAACAGACCAAAAGUGUCAGGGAGGUCUGGGAUGGUACGCAACUUAAACUC